rnacentral:siRNA from 1 species
UUUGUAAGUGUUUCUAUGGUC